rnacentral:rRNA from 1 species
CCUACGGGAGGCAGCAGUGAGGAAUAUUGGUCAAUGGUCGGGAGACUGAACCAGCCAAGCCGCGUGAGGGUUGAAGGUACAGAGUAUCGUAAACCUCUUUUGUCAGGGAACAAAGGCGGGGACGCGUCCCCGGAUGAGUGUACCUGAAGAAAAAGCAUCGGCUAACUCCGUGCCAGCAGCCGCGGUAAUACGGAGGGUGCGAGCGUUAAUCGGAAUUACUGGGCGUAAAGCGCUCGUAGGCGGUAUGUCAAGUCAAGGGUGAAAUCCCCGCGCUCAACGUGGGAACUGCCUUUGAAACGGGCAAACUGGAGGGUGUGAGAGGAUAGUGGAAUUCCAGGUGUAGGAGUUAAAUCCGGAGAGAUCUGGAGGAAAAUCAGUGGCGAAGGCGACUAUUUGGCACAUAACUGACGCUGAGGAGCGAAAGCGUGGGGAGCAAACAGGAUUAGAUACCCUGGUAGUC